rnacentral:lncRNA from 13 species
GAGAGCUUCAUGAACAUCCCUAGGAAGUAAUUAGUGCAGAAUCAAGGGUAGCUCCUGUCCCCCACAGCCGCAAGACACUUCACAACCGCUUUAGAGUUUAUUCCCCACAUACAUACCACCCCAUGACCCCAUGACCCCAUGACCUCUUUUUUUUUUUAGAUGGAGUCUCACUCUUGUCACCCAGGCUGGAGCGCAGUGGCACGAUCUCGGCUCACAGCAACCUCCGCCUUCUGGUUUCAGCAAUUCUCCUGCCUCAGCCUCCCAAGGAGAAGAUUGGGCUUUCAAGAGAGCAGAACUCAAGGCCUCAUCUCCAUCAGGGGCUGCAGCAGUGAAUUAAAAGUGCACGCCCAGAGGAUGAGUAGCUGUGACCGCUUCUGCCAGCACUUUCGGCUGCAUCAUUAAUAAAGACAUAUUGUUGCAGAUAAAGCUCAGACCACAGCUCCUGAAACGCUUGGAAUCUCCAAAGCGAUAUCUUUUUGCAUGUGAAUGAUUCACGGAGGGCCGGCAGCCGCUGGGUAGCUUCAGGAUGGGACGGGUCAAUGGAAAGACCAAGGCGGGAUCCAUCCUGGGGAGAGGAGAGAGACGCGGUUAAGUUGCUCACCGGUGACACUGCAGUCAUUUCAUCAAUCAUAUCUCCAUAAUGAAGCCUCCAUAAAAACACAAACGGACAGAUUCUGGGAGCUGAACACAUGAAGGUUCCUGGAGGGCAGUGCCCCCCGGGAGGGCAGGGAAGCUCCCCACCCCUUCCCCAUCACUUACCCUGUGCAUCACUUCAGCUGUAACCUUUUUCGUAUCUCUUGCAAUAAACCAGCAAAUAUACGUAAGUGUCUCCCUAAG